rnacentral:rRNA from 1 species
UACGUAGGGUCCGAGCGUUGUCCGGAGUUAUUGGGCGUAAAGGGCUCGUAGGCGGUUUGUCGCGUCGGGAGUGAAAACACGGGGCUUAACCCCGUGCCUGCUUCCGAUACGGGCAGACUAGAGGUAUGCAGGGGAGAACGGAAUUCCUGGUGUAGCGGUGAAAUGCGCAGAUAUCAGGAGGAACACCGGUGGCGAAGGCGGUUCUCUGGGCAUUACCUGACGCUGAGGAGCGAAAGUGUGGGGAGCGAACAGG